GACGAACGCUGGCGGCGUGCUUAACACAUGCAAGUCGAACGAAAGGACGGGAAGAGCUUGCUCUUUCCGGAAUUGAGUGGCAAACGGGUGAGUAACACGUAAACAACCUGCCUUCAGGAUGGGGACAACAGACGGAAACGACUGCUAAUACCGAAUAAGUUCCAAGAGCCGCAUGGCGAAGGGGUCAAAGAAAUUCGCUUUGGGAGGGGUUCGCGUCCCAUUAGCUAGUUGGUGAGGUAACGGCCCACCAAGGCGACGAUCGGUAGCCGGACUGAGAGGUUGAACGGCCACAUUGGGACUGAGACACGGCCCAGACUCCUACGGGAGGCAGCAGUGGGGAAU
rnacentral:rRNA from 1 species